rnacentral:lncRNA from 1 species
UCCGCAGCGUCCUGUACUUGAGAGCAUUUUGGGCAAGCCUAUACUCUCGCUUUAAAUAAAAUAUCUUAGUAUGCCAUGAAGUAUAUGAAAGAGUAAUCUCUUUAAGCUAUGAAUCAAUUAUCUUGGUAUUGGCGACACGUGAAGGCUAUGUAAGCGCGAAAGUUGUUGAUGUUUGUGAUGCUGCCCAUAAAGUACAUACUCCUUGCAUUAUUGUCGAAGCUUACAACCUAGACAUGUUAAGAAUGUUAAGCCUAAUGCUUCACAAAGAACAUUUGCAUGGAGAUGUUGGACUUUACCAUCAACUAAAGAAAAUCAAUGAUUCCGCAACAAAACCUCGAGAUGAGUUUUUUUUUUUUUUAAAUCCAAGAAGUAUAAUGCAAAUCACAUCCGAAACGUUUAUUUAUUUUAAUUUUUAAAUUAAUUUUCAAGGAAGUAUGUAUACUUCUUUCUAUUAUUUGUUCACUUUAUUAUUUAAGAAUCACAUUAUCAAGGUUAAAAGUUGUUUCUAUUAAUAUUUUGGAUGUGGGAUUCCAAUUUGUAUGGAGUGCUCUUUCCUUUUUGCUAUGUAACCAGAAGUUAGGGAGAAAGAGUUUGGGUGACUAUGAUGUGAUUUGAAUACAAUAAUACUUAUUUUGGUGGGGGAGAUAAUAGUUCAUUGUUUUAAGGGAUUUAACAGGGUGAAGUAUUCAAGAUUAACUUCCCGUUUGGUUGAGAGAUCAAGUGAAUGGGGUAACAAAGAGAAAGGAGGAAGUCACAUGGCAUAUUGGUAGUUAAAAGGAGGGUGAGAGAAGAUUCUAAAAACGAGGAUCCAGAAGAUAAAAUAGGAGAAUUUAGAAAGGUGUUGAUUUGCAUGAUCCAGAGAGAAAUUCAUGGAAGGUCACGUAAAUUGAAGAGAGAGAAAAGAAAGAGAAAGUCAUGAGUUGUAGAGAGAGGCUUUUUUUUUUUUUUUGUAUUUAAGAGGGGUGGCAUCUCAAUUAGAACGGAUUUAGAUAUUUUGUAGGGAGUUUUUUUAUGAAAGAAGAAAAGAGAGUUUCUUCUUCCAGUAGAUUUACAGUCACCUUUUACCCUCCAUUAUUAAUGAAUUUUUGCUUGUUUAAGACAAAAAGAAGGCGGAAUGUAAUUUUCUGAGCUCCUUUUGCAUCAUUAUCCUCAUCUCAUGACCGCUAAAAAAAAGAAGUUUAUAAAAUUAUUAAUUAUAUGCAUAUUAUAUUUAAUAAAAUGAUUUAACAAAAGGAUAAGUACAAAAAAAAUAUACUACCCUGGGAUUCCUCUCAUAAAAAUCAGUGGCAUUAGGCCCAUGGCCAUAUGCAUCAACAUCUCCUAUUUGGCUAUAAGGGUUGAGUGGAAUAAUUUGUUAUCAGUAUACUCCGCUUUUGAGAAUUACUUUUAUGACAAUAUAUUGUCACGAUAUUUUUUUCAUGUUUUCAUAGAUAUGCCUCUCAUAACAAUUGUCUAUAAUUUUCAUCAUGAGGAUUUUCGGAUUUGUCACUUAUGGAAACUAACUAACUUAAACAUGUUUAAGUCCGAUUAAGAUAAUGUGCUUAAAAAUAGUUCCACACUUAGAGUCAUUGUCAAUGUGUCAGCAAUCAUAUAAGAUGAUGACAAAUUACUAACAGUUACCUCAUUUUCUCAACUACAUCAUGAAUGUAGUGUUAUUGUAACUCUAUGUGUCUUCUUUUGAAGUUAUUUGUUCCACUUUGUAUUAAUUUAAUUGCAAUGUAAUUAUCACAAAACAUUUUAAUUGGCCCAUCGAUUAUGUGCAGUUUCAAGUCAUCUAUGAAGCGCUUUAUUCGAACUUCAUAAGUACAAACAAUGCUAUAUGCAAUGUACUCGACUUCUUCUGUGUAUCUCAUAACAUACCCUUGUUUCUCGUUAGACAAAGAAACAACAACACCUUCAAAGAGAAAAAUAUGCCUUGAGGUGGACUUACUAUCGUCCUUUUUCCCAACAAAAUCUGUAUCUGAAUAGCUUAGAACUUCAAGCUUAUCUACGUGAAAAUAUAAUUUAAGAUGCUUUGUCCCCUUAAUAUACCUUAGAAUUCCUUUGACUGUGUUCCAAUGGGCUAUAUUGGGAUUGCUUUCAUAUCUACACAAGACCUACAACAUAACUCAAAUCUAGUGUUGUACAUCAUACUACAUAUACAUAGCUUGUGCAUAUGGAAUAUUAAGUUUUUCUUGCUCUUCUAUUGGACAACAGACGUAGAUAGUGGUUUAUAAUUUUUCAUUCUAUAUCUCUUAAGAGCAGAGUCAAGAUAUCAUUUUUGAAUAAAGUUCAAUAUUGUAGAUUUUUUGUGUCUAGUUAUUUUUAUGCCUAGUAUACAAGAUGUAAAUGGUUGCUUCAUGUAAAUGGCUUCAUUUAGUACAUCAUUAAAAAAUGCAGUCUUUACAUCUAUUUGGCUAAGUUCUUGGUCAUAUAAGUGAUGCUUAUUCUAAUGGAUAUAUACAUUGCUAUUGGGGAAAAAAUGACAAUAUAGUAAACUCUAUUUCUUUGGGUAAAACCCUUUGCUACAAACUGAGCUUUAAAUUUAUCAAUAGAUCUAUUAGAUUUUAGUUUCUUUUUAAGUACCCAUUUGCAACCCAUAGGUUUUCUAUCUGAGGGUAAAUCACAUAGAGCCCAAAUUUCAUUUUGCUCAAAUAGAGCCCAUUUCUCCUCUCAUGGUAUUAAGUCAUUAUUAAGAUUUUUGUGAUUUCAUUGCAUCAUUGAAGUCAAAGGGAUCAUCAAUAUCGUCUAGGUCAAUACAGUUAUCUAUCUCCUCACUCAUGCAAGCAUAGAAAUCAUUAAAAUAUGAUAUAGAAGCUCCAGACCUCUUUGGGUGUUUGAAUACUUCAACAUCAUCAUAUCGAUUCGUGUUAUCCAUAUCCACUAAAGGUAGUGGUUCUCAGUCACUUAUGAUCUUAAGAGGAUCAUCAUUAUCUACUACAUGUGGAUUUUCUUCAUUGAAAUCUUAUAGGAACUCAGCAUCUCUGCUUUCAAUGAGUAUCUGAUCCUUAUGACAAAAUCUAUAGCCCUUUGAUCCUUCAAGGUAUCCUAUAAAAUUAUAUACAAGAGUUUUAUCUUCAAAUUUAUCUAUUUUUUGAUGUAGAAUUAUAAGAUGUGUUAUUGACCCCUAUUUCUUUAAAUUACUUCUAUCAGGUCUUCUACCUGCCCACAAUUCAUAAGAGGUAAAAUUUAUUGACUUAGUUGGAGCCCUAUUAAGUAUAUACAACGUUGUACUCAAUGCUUUUCUCCAAAAAGUCUUGGAUAAACUAGCAUGAGCUAUCAUGGAUCUAGUCAUCUCUAAGAGGAUUCUAUUAUGCCUUUCAGCUAUACCUUUUUGUUGUAGCAUAUAAGCAUAGUAUGUCUUUUAAUACUAUUUUCUUUGCAAUAAGUGUUAAAAGCUUCAGAUGUGUACUCACCUCCUCUGUCAGUUCUAAGCAUUUUGAUGUUUCUAUCCAAUUACUUUUCUACUUAUAUAUUUUAAAUAUUUCGAAGGCUACUGACUUGUGGUGGUUUAAGUAAACAUAUCCAAACCUAGAAAAAGCAUAAUAAAAGUGAUGAAGUAUGACAUCUCUUUAUGAGUUUUAACAUUGAUAGGCCUACAAAUGUCUGAGUGGACCAUAUUCAAUAGCUCAUUAACUCUCUCCCUUUAUUAAAUGGUUUCCUAGUCAUUUUUCCUGACAAAUAAUGCUGACAAGUUGGAAAUUCCACAUUAUUGAGAUUUAGAAUAAGACAUUUUUUUAUUAACUUAUUUAUCUUGUCAUUUCCUAUAUGCCCAAGCCUAAGAUGCCCAAUGUAUGCGUCAACAACCAUUGCACAAUCAACAUAACCAAAAUAAAUAAAAACUUUAUUAUAAACUUUACAUGAAGAAGGAACAAAUUAUGCUCAUCAACCAAGAAUCCCAAGCAUAAAUUUGACCAUGCAUUUUGAUUGACACACAAUAAUCAGAAGCGAACUUCAAAGCCCGUUCAAAUAAAUAAAAGGUCAAAUACCAUAUUUCGCCUCAUACUAGGCAUAAAAUAUGCAUCAAUGAAUAUACGACAGACUGCCCCUACAUACAACCUAUCUGUUCUUAUACUUAAUACAUCAGAAUAAGUGUUGUUCCCCAUGUAGGUAUGUAUCUCCUUAGCUUUUAUGUGUUUAAAGUCAUCGAAAAGGCCUUUUGAGCUUGCAAUAUGACGAUUAAUGGUUGAAUCUACCCAUCAUCCAUUAAUAUAGUUGUUUGCAAGCAAGCACUCUGAGACCACACUAAUGACUUUACGCCUCUUGCUCUUAUUUCCACUAUAUUUCUGAUUUUGCAGGUUUUAUAUAUGUGGGCAUCAAUUUUUGAAUUGACAUACCUGACCACUUAUGAAGCAUUUUGGCAGUCAUUGUUUAGUCUCAUGGUUGUGGGGCUUAAUUCCUUUAUUUUUUAACCUAUUAUUUCUCUCAAGGUUUAGAAAAAAAGAUCGGUGACCCGUAUCGACCACCCCCAAAAUCGUGUGAGAUCAAUGGAUUGGCGAUCUUGAUCGAAGAAUCAGCCAGAUCGAAAAGUGUUGGCAUUAAAAAAAUUUAAAAAAAUCACUAGAAUUUCUUAAAAAUCUAGUUUUUUAGGUUUCUAAAAAAAUACUAGUGUUACAUUUUAAUUUUUCAUUAUUUUGCUAAAAAUAAAUAAAUAUUAAGAGUUUGUCUCAUGUUUGAGUGUUUGUUAUCCAUUAUAUUUAUUAUAUGGGAAAAAUAAGAUUUAAAUAGAACUAAUUGCAAUACAAUAGAUAUCUCCAACUCAAAUUUUGAUAGUAAAAAAACAAAAUUUGUACAAAAAGGAAUUUUUAUAAUAAAAAAAUUUCCUUUUCAAAGCAUUCUUUGAACAAUUAAUUAUUGGAAUUUUCAUGAAAAAUCAUAUUUCAACAUGUUACAUAUGGUUUACAUAGGUUUUUCACUUAAUACGAAGAAAUCAUAUUGCAACUAACAGACCUAUGUGGUUUACAUAGGUUUUUCACCACUUUACACAGCUAUUUCUUUGUGCUCUUUCAUUUAAUCAAAGAGUGUGGUGUAGAAGUGGCAAAAGAGCCCAGAGAAAAAUAAUCCCACAUCGGGACUUUAAGAAUGAAAACAUGUCCGUAAAACUUACAUCCCCAAUCCGAAAAUUUAAAAGAGUUGAAGAUGGCGUGGCCAUGCGAUAUGCGGAGCACGUGUUGGGCUUGAUGGGUUGGGCAAUUGGUGCGCACGUGGGAUUUGACGUCACAUAUGCAUUAAAGAUUGGUGGGUCAACAUUAAUGUGGGUAGCGAAGCCACAACAACAUUAAAGAUUGGUGGGCUAUUGCAGGUUUUAUUUUUAUUUUGGAAAAACAUGAGAUUUGAUAUUGAAAACUUGGAAAUACAAGUGGAAAAGCACUAUUGCACUCGGGAACAAUCCGAUAUUGAAAACUUGGAAAUAGAAGUGGAAAAGCACUAUUGCACUCGGGAACAAUCCUGUUUUGUGUCAGAGGAAUGGUAGAGAACUAGUACAGACCGGUUCGAACUAGCCGGUUCUUAAGAAACCUAGCUAGAUUUGAUAUAUUAUGGGUGUAGACGUCUUGAUCUCGAUUGAAAAAAUUAUGGAUAUGCUAAAAUGUCUUAGGAAGAUCACUUAAAUAUUUUAAACCAUUCACCCCACCUGAGCCUUUUACGUAGGCUCUAUCGACUCAAUAUUUCUCCGAUGGGAUCAAAGGCAUCUCAGUCACAAAACAGGUGGCCAUGAAGGUCAGAGGUCUUGUGCCAUUCCUAAUGGUGGCCAGUGCCUUCCUAGUGGCGGCCAGCACCACUCCAAAGGCUACAAGACCCAAGGCACCCACGACCGUCUAGAAUGAAUAGAAGUCUAGUGACAUUGCCAACGUCGCCAGCUCCAUUCUGAAUGUCGCCAGUCUCGGAGACCUCCAAAAGGGGGGAAACAGCCUUGGCUGAGGAGAGUUAGAAGAUACACUGACGUGGCAGGCCGCACUGACAGACAUAACAAGGCUGUAUACGGACUAUGGUUGUCGAAAUAUGAUAAGCUGAGGUUGAGAAGAUAGUACAACUAGUGUGGCGUGCCAACUAGCGUUUGGCGAUAUUGCAAAUGUUGUUGGCACCGUUCGGAGUAGCUUCAAGCUGUGAUUGGUCCAUCAAAACUAUAUCAGAAUCACCAAAACACAACGCGUGUCCAAACAAGAAGUUGAAGGAAGUCGAAAGGCCGUUGGCACCAUUGCUGAUGGUGUCAGUUACUGACAGGGCUGUAUCAAUCGCAUUAAAGAGAAAUUAAUAUUUGUUGAUCGUCAUUAAUACAACAUUAAUGAUGUGGAGUUGGUCCAAGUACCACCGGUGCCACUCCAAACGUUGCCAAAACUCUGAUGGUCCAAAAUUCACACAAAACCGACCUACGGGCGAGUGCAAAGUCUAUUUUUGUCUAUAAAUAUCUCCUUUUGCCUCAGGCCUAAGGUCUGGAUUUUCAGGAUUUUUGAUCCUAGGCUAUGUCCAAACCCCUUUGAUCUUGAGUUCAAGCUUAAGGAUGUAUAAGAAAGCCCUAAGGUGAGCCCAUUUGAGUAACCCCCCAUCUCUCCUAAACCCUUGAAUUCAAAACUAAGCUUCUAACCCCUUCAAGCUAUCUUAUCAAAUCGAAGGCGGUUUGGAUAAUCCGACUGUCCAGGCUCUCUUCCUCCAAUUUCUAUUUUCCCCAUUAACAAUUGAAAGUUCGGGAUUUCUAUGCAACUAUUCGAACUGAAUCAAUGAUGAGCCUGGGGGCCCGACCUACAACAUCAUUUUCUCGUUCCUCUCCUCUUACUUCUAGUAUUUUUGAUAGUUGCAUUCAUGUUUUUUUUCCUUAUUUUCCCUUUUCGUAUGACCAUAUUUACUUUAAUGUUGUAUUUCUUUUCCCUCCUUUAAUGCUGUAUUUAUUUGCAUUUAGUCUUCUCUCUCUUUCUCAUCUCCUUUAUUAAGUAGUUAUUCUCCUUUUCUUUGUUGUGCUUAUUUCCUUUAAGUAGGGGCAUUUAUUUCCAUUUCCCUCUUUUNNNNNNNNNNNNNNNNNNNNCAUCCCUAUCCCCUGUGUGACCUUGCCCUUCCACGUACUCUCUCUUCUUUAUUUUUGUUACUUAUCAUAUAUUUUGUUCAAUAACUUGGUGUCUUUCUUCCUUUUCUUCUUGUAAUAAUUUUUCUUUGUGCUAUUUAUUAUCUUUUUAUUGUUGUCUUGUUUUCAACCCUCUUUAUUCUCUAAUAAAUGUUUCAUUCUAUUUCUUCACCUUUUUCUUUUGUUUGAUGUUUUCUUUUCAUUCUCUCCCUUGUCUGCUUCCUUUCUUUAAGUUCUUAUUCGUCCCCUCUUUCUUGAUUUUUAAUGUAGUAUCCUCCCCCUUAUUCUCUUUAUAUUCAUCUUCUCAUCUUCUUAGCUUUGCUUCUUCUAAUUAGAUAUUGUAUGUUUAGUAUAGAUAGCGAGUUAGAUUUCAUAGUUUCCAUGCUUUUCAUCGUCUUGAUCUUUUUACAUUUCAUGGUUAGAUUCUUUACCUCUGUGCAUGUUUACUUUCCUAGUCUUUUAGCUUACUUGUGGUUAUCCUCUCUUCUUCCUUUUCUAAAUCUAUUUCCCUGAAAAUCUCCUUUUUAUCUUCAAACCCAUAGAAAAUCUUCUUUGUUGAGUUCCAAGGUUGAAAUAGGAGGGAAGCCGGCGUUUCCUGCGGUCUGAGAGGGAUAAGGUUUUAUGGCCUGACUCUCCCUCAUAACAUAAUUUGAUGAGGCCCAUUCUCUUCCAACUCUUCGAUUUGUUUGCACCCAAAAGCAAGGCAGGGCCGAAGUCCCUGUGGUGCACGUGUAUGUCGAGUAUGAACAGUCUGGCGCCCACUGUGGUGCACGUCAAGCUUCCCUUCCAUCUCAACUAUUGAAGCGGCCUCUCGAACAUCUGUUUCAAAAGGCCACCAUCAACUGGGAACUCGUCCCAUCUCGUUUCGAGCUUUUGUUUCUUGUUCGGAGUCCGAAACUGACAAACGUUAUGUAGGGGGAUGUUGCCUGUUUCGGCUGCUUUUGUUUGCUUUCUGAAAUCUCUGGGGACAACAUCAUUGGCAGUGUCGGCAGUGCCAUUUCCUAUGUCACCAGGUCUCUGUGACUCCAGAAAGUCCUCUUGCCUGUCCCAGGCUUGUUAUUGGCCCGUUCGACACUUUUUCGUGAGUCUAGAAGAACAUAGUUUUGACAAUGUUUGCACUGUCUUCAGUGACCUUGCAGUGCUACCAGAAUUAUGUUUCUCUAGUCCUCAGGGUGCGACUAUCUGAAACCACAGUUCCUUGGUGAUGUUGCCACCUGCACCAGGGGCAUAGGCAGUAGCGUCAGACCACUGUUGCCUCGGACAAUCUGUUUCUUAUUGAUAAUAUAGAUUUAUCGCCUUCCUUCCUUUCAGUGCCUCCUCGGCACCCCUGUUUCUGAGGGACCUUCUUCCCUCAAUCUAAAAUUGCACCUCGAGUAGGGUUACACCUGACUCUAAGUGCGUUCGAGUGGACAUAAUUCACACUCUUCAUUGGAACCGUGCUUCGAUCUCCCUUGAUCAGAAGUGCACAUCACCCAGCACCGAGGUGCCCGGUAUUCAACCAUUACUAGGGCACCUAGCCACUCUCUUUCACUGCACUUUGAUCUAGCUCGCCAAAUCAAAGUGCACCCCACUUGGUGUGAUUUAGCACCUCGUGUUCAUUUUUGUUUGGGUACUAUAUUGAUUGACUGAUAUACUUUUUCACAUGCAUGCAUGAUUACUACAUUCACACUUAUGCACUCAAGCGCAUGAAUUUAAAAGUUUUCCAAAUUUAGUUUCUCGAAAAACCUGCAUCGGGUUUUAAUGCUUCUGGAGUAGGCACCUAAUUCCUAGAGGAAGAGCAGAUGGGAUCAUGGGCCGUCAAUGACAGUACACCCUCUAUAUAUACUCGGCCUCUUACCCCACAAUACUUUGGACCUAUGGUCGCUUAUAGGAGUGACCCAAACCAAAGGUGGGUGUACCCUGAUAUCGUACCUCAUUUCUAAACUAGUUUUUACCCAAGGUAGGAACUCUAAGUCUGGCCUUACUCGUUAGUGGUUUAGAGGUACUCAUGUCUUUUUUCAUGUUUUGUCUACCUAAGUAAAGAGAUGAAUCACGACCCACAUAUGGUGGCGGGAGAGUCGGGUACCGAGUUGACUGCCAAACUCACAACGAAGGUCAAGUAUGUCAUCUGGCCAUCUAGUGAGAUAGCGCACAGCUAUCCCCUGAGACUAUGGGACCCAGCCUUCGCAUGGGCCCGAGGUUAGGUCACUUAGUUGUCUAUCCGAAGACCAUGUUGUUGGUCCGACACUAGGUGUCACCAGGUUUGCGCUACUCAAAGCACCUUGAACAGCCAAGUAGUUGGGCUGGGUGUAGUCCUCCAACAAGUAGGGGUACUACCACCGUCCCGACGCCGGACGCAAGAUAGGGUCUGCAUCCUUAGCGGUGGUCAAGUCGGCGAUUUAAGCAUAGGUGAUCCUCUCUUACCAGUACCUCCUCAUCCUCCUAGUACAGAGCUUUCUACUAAAGGUAGUGCCACAUGAUCCUCUAGUGCCCGCAACAGCCGUAGCGUUGACCGAGCUCCUCUUGGAGCCGCCCAACCUAGUGUAAGAUUAGCAGCUGACCCUAGUAUGGCCCAAUUUCCUCUAGGGGCAAGCCAACCAAUGGUAGACAACACUGUAGAUCCAGGCAGAAUAGCGCAAGUUGUUCUUCAAGCCAUAGGGAAUCCUAGCUUAGGACAAGCAGCAAACUUCUUUGCCCAACCUAAUCUAGGGUCCCCUUCAACCUGGUCAAGCAAAACGCGAUCCGGGGAUGGUCCCGAGCAGGCCCAUUUUGGAACCGUCGUAUCAGUUUUAUAACCCUCAACCCAGGGAAGCUCCUCUUAUGGCACCGACAUACCCGCCAUUGCAUCAGCCGACCCCUCUACACUUGGCUGGUCAAGCAGCUACCUGAGGAAGUAAUGCUUUCGUAUCAUCCGCAUAGGAGCACAUGAAAUACCAAUCCCUAGAAGGUCGGAUGAAAAUCAUGCCUGCAACACUACAAAGGCUUGGGGUCGACGAUCUGGCUCUCAUCGAGCCUUAUGAUGAGUCCUACCUAGAUGGAUUUGCCGAACUACAGAUAAAUUUCUUGCCGCCAGAAUUCGGAAAUCACUUUAAUGGCAAGGGAAAUCCACGACUUCAUGUAACCAGCUAUUUACUAGUCGUAUUAACAAUCCGAGAUAGGCCGGUUACACUUAAAGCAAUGUUUGUCCACUGUCUCGCGGGAGAUGCCAUCACCUAGUAUAAUGAAUUUGCAAUGGACUACUCUGACGCUUCGUGCCGAGUGAUGUUUAAGUGAUUAAUCAUCCAUUUCAGCACCAAGAAACUGUGGAUGAUCUCAGUAGGGGAACUAGUUGCCCUUAAAUAGGGACUGGACGAACCAUUCACCGAUUUUGUCGACAGGUUUAAUGCCAUGGCCUCAAAGGUCACAGAAUGCCUGUUAUCAGACCACGUUAAAAUCAGCAUGAUAUUGGAAAAUGCUAACAAUGAAUACAAUACGUUCUUCAGCCACGGUUGUCCCUCUGACAUUCAAUAUUAUGUCGAAUAUGAUCAUGCUAUAUGAGAGAAUUAAAUCUCAGAUGGCCGGUAUUAAGCCGAGAAAAAAUCGAAAAAUUAAUGAAGCCUCGAGAAGAUCCCGUGGGCUAAACCACAACAAGCUGGGGAGGUAAACUAGAUUAUCCUCCACCAGGCGAAUCCGAGUAAUCAGGAUCGACCAGCUGGCCAAGACCUGCGAGGAAACCAAAAUGGGGGAGGAAACUGAUACAGACCAUACAUUCAGCCCAUCAGGCCGCAAAGAUGCUUCACCUUGUUGAAACAACCUUUGUCCGAAGUACGACAACUUCUGAAGGAAUGAGAUUUGAUUCUUCUGCCACCUUCACCAUCCCACAUGAAUUGAUGGGCAAGAGAAAAUACUGUGAGUGGCAUCAACAUCAUCAACACAAUAUGCAAGAUUGCAUCACCCUAAAGCCUUAAGUCGAAAAUUUGAUAGAAAAGGGAGUCAUUAAAGUGGUGAAACCCAAUGAGCCCAUUAAAGAGGCCAAUCAAAAAAUGGGGAUCGAUGUCAACCCAUUGCCGAUCAAUGAUCCUCAGCCAAGUGCACCACCGCUUACAACCACGAAAGUUCCGGCAUCGGAUCCAAGGGGAAAGGUCGCGAUCCAUACCAUCCUUGAAGAGUCAUACAUUAUACAUCCAUCCCUACUCAUCUUCUCGUGCAUAAUACCGACUACCUUGAUGAUUCUAAGGGAAACUACCUCUCAAGAACCUCUCCAAGACAUCUUGAUGCCCACCAUUCAAAACGUCCAAAGGGAAGUUGUCCCUUUAGAAACUCAAACAUGGCAUCAAGACGUUAUAAUAUCAGUCGCUCAGGAGAUCUCAAAUGUGUUUACCUUCAAGAACCUCUGUUACCACACUAAGAUGUUGAAAUGACAACUAAUGAAGAAGCUAAGCAAGAUGAUUGCUCAUCUCCCAAUAGCCUGGUAGUGAUCAAAGUUGAAGAUGGGUAACCUACUCAGAAAACAACCCAAUUGGAAGGAGCGUACGAGGAGGUUGACACAUGGGUAAAGGUCCAACCCUCCCACAUCCUUACCAAUGGGAUCAUCACUUCGCUUACAAGACAUGGUCACCAUUUCAAGCCAACUCGGCUUAGCGCCGACACUUUGCGAGAAAGGAUAGGGAAUAACUUCUCUUUCUCUCUCUUACUCACUCUCCCACUCCCUCGGUCUCUCUCUCUCUUACCCUUUCUUUCUUUCCCUUGCUCAUUCUCCCUUUCCCUCGGUCUCUCUCUCUUACUUUCUCUCCCCUUCUCGGUCUCCUACAGUCUCUCUCUUUCUCUUACCCUCUCAUUCUCUCUCUCGAUCCUUCUCUCCCCCUCUCGGUCUCCUACGCUCUCUCUCUUUCUUUUCUCUCUCGCUCACUCUUUCUCUCUCACGAUCUCUCUCCCUCUCUUACCCUCUCUCUCUCACUCUUUCUCUCCCUCAGUCUCUCUCUCUCUCGUUUUCCCCUCUCUUUCUCACUCUCCUUCUCUUUCUUUCUUCCCCUCUUUCUCUCUCACUCUCUUUUCUCUCUCUCAUUCUCUUCUCCAUUUUUAUCUACCUCAUACUCUCUCUUUCCAUCUCUUUUAAGCUCCUCCCUCUUCUCCCCUCUAACACUCUACUUCUUCGACUCUCACUCUAUCUCUUCUACUAUCAUCUCACCCCUCUCUUGACUAUAUNNNNNNNNNNNNNNNNNNNNNNNNNNNNNNNNNNNNNNNNNNNNNNNNNNNNNNNNNNNNNNNNNNNNNNNNNNNNNNNNNNNNNNNNNNNNNNNNNNNNNNNNNNNNNNNNNNNNNNNNNNNNNNNNNNNNNNNNNNNNNNNNNNNNNNNNNNNNNNNNNNNNNNNNNNNNNNNNNNNNNNNNNNNNNNNNNNNNNNNNNNNNNNNNNNNNNNNNNNNNNNNNNNNNNNNNNNNNNNNNNNNNNNNNNNNNNNNNNNNNNNNNNNNNNNNNNNNNNNNNNNNNNNNNNNNNNNNNNNNNNNNNNNNNNNNNNNNNNNNNNNNNNNNNNNNNNNNNNNNNNNNNNNNNNNNNNNNNNNNNNNNNNNNNNNNNNNNNNNNNNNNNNNNNNNNNNNNNNNNNNNNNNNNNNNNNNNNNNNNNNNNNNNNNNNNNNNNNNNNNNNNNNNNNNNNNNNNNNNNNNNNNNNNNNNNNNNNNNNNNNNNNNNNNNNNNNNNNNNNNNNNNNNNNNNNNNNNNNNNNNNNNNNNNNNNNNNNNNNNNNNNNNNNNNNNNNNNNNNNNNNNNNNNNNNNNNNNNNNNNNNNNNNNNNNNNNNNNNNNNNNNNNNNNNNNNNNNNNNNNNNNNNNNNNNNNNNNNNNNNNNNNNNNNNNNNNNNNNNNNNNNNNNNNNNNNNNNNNNNNNNNNNNNNNNNNNNNNNNNNNNNNNNNNNNNNNNNNNNNNNNNNNNNNNNNNNNNNNNNNNNNUCUAACGACAAAUCAGGGUAUUCUGGCUCACUUGUUUGGCAAUCUUAUGUGUGUAUGUUCGUGAGCCGCAGAGUGCAAGCAAGGAAGCUAAAGCCGAACCAACCUCAUGCUAGGGGAGCUUUCCAUCGUGAUCUAAGAGGGCGCCCGCAAAAUGCCCGAGCAUAUCACAAACCCAUCGUGAGAUCAGUCCCACCUCACACCCCAUAAUCCUCUCUCAUUAGUUGGCACCUGUCCCCACGCGCACCUCACACGUUGCGAUUCUCAAGAGAGCGAUCUCGAGCUGUGCCCACACAACCGGGUCUCUGCACGAUCAUCUGACCCAACGAGAUCGAGGCCCAACCAGUUACAGUUAUCAAAAUCCAAAAAAAGGAAUGAAGAGAAGAAGAUGGAACAAGCAAGAGAGUAAAGAAUUCAUGAGCCUUUAGAAAUUUUCAAGGGCUUUGAGGUUGGCGAUUACUUGAGUAAUUUGAGUUGACGCUAUGUUGGUCGAUGCCAUCUCAGAGUUCAGCUUCUCUAACUCUUGAGACUUGCUCUGAGCCUCUGCUCGCUUUCGAUCCAGUCGAGUCUUCAAUCGGUUGAGAUAAGCUUGCAGCUUUUCCAGCUCUUCUUCUGUAACCUUUAUGUUUGCAAGACAGGCUGUGUCUUCAUUCUUGAAGCUAUCCUGUUAAGCAAGGAGAAAGGUCUUCUUCUCAUUAUAGCCUAUCAUCAGAUUCUGAUGUUAAGCUAGGGAGUCCUCUAAGGAAGCCAGAUGAGCUCGACGUAGUUCCUGAACUUUAGAUUCACAUUGCAAAGCCUCUACUCUCCACCAUUCAAGGUUAGUCAAAGGACCUUCGAAUUGGUCAAAGUUCUCCUUCUCAAAAGUUGACACCUCUCAGGGUAGCAGCGAAGUCCCUAACUGUGAUAAUCUCGACUUCAAGAUUAGAGAGGUAACAUCUCUUUAACCCCUGAAGACUUGCCCAUAAAAAGUUCUCUGCCGAAGAAGCCUUCUUAUUCGAUAGGGUGCAGGAUAUUGAAGAAGGCAAAGAUGAAGAACUAACCACAACAAGGGGUAGCAUUUCAGCAAUGAUAGCUGGUUCAUGAGGCACAAGUUCCAAAGUUUCACUCAGGGGAAUAUCUAACUGAGAUUGGGCUUAUGCUUCUGAAAUGAUUGAAGUGGGCACUUCUAGAGCUAUUAUCUUUGUAUCUGGGGCCACACUGAUUGCUCUAAUAUCGUCAUCAAGAAUACUCCCUUCUUCAGUAAUAGUGCAAAAAAAGUCUCCCUGACUCAGUGGUGAGAGGGUCGAAGAUUGCACUAUUUUAGGUUCAGCAAGGCCACCAUCAAUAGGUGCCUCUAUUUCUACCACAGGGGGAGGAACACUCUCUGAGCGACAGCUCAAACUGAAAGAAGUCUGACCAGAUGAAGCCAAUCGAGAUAUGAAAACUUCAAGAUUUGUAAUAACGGACUCUUGAAUGGGAGACACCUCUUUCGAUGGCAGAGUUGGGCUAGAAGAAGAAGGCUUAUUUGCACAUUUCUUUGGCCUGAAAGAUGAAUCAGGUGCUUCACUUGAGAUUGCACAGAAGGAGAUGCACCUAGACUUGAUAAAGCCCUCUUACUCAGUCGGGUACUCUUGCGAUGAACCUCAGGUUUUGCAGUGGUAUUGGAUUCGGUGCUCUCUGAAGCAUUGAGAUCCUUGUAUCAUUUUUUAUGCAAUUGAGAUCCUAUCUAUCAAAGCAUUGAGAUCCUGUUUGGGUCGACCUUCAUAACUAGGGACAACACGACCCUUGGUCCACUUGAAGAUAGAGCAAAGGUCAUAAAAAAGAGACAUGGUUUCACCCUCAAAUGAAAGAUAUUGAAUGCCAGUAUGAUCUACAACCAAUGAUCGAGGCAUACCAAGCUCUUUCUAGCUUAGUUGGUAAUUAAGCUCACAAACUUUGAAAAGAUGGGAGGGGUGAAACGUUUCCCAUGCUUAGUAUCAUUUUUUAUGCAAUUGAUUUCACUCAUGGGUCAUCUUCUAGUAAGAAUGGUUAGUGGUGUUCCACCACCAUCAAUAACCGUCGAUAGCAUGGCCGACACGACCAUAAUGUGGGAUGACAAACUUGCUCAAGCUAGUAAGGGCAAUACAAGUUUCCCAUGCCAUCCGCAAAUUACUAUCUGUCCAGGAUUCGCGCUUUGCACCUGAGGAUGAGGGUCUUGCUAAGAUCCCUUCUUCCCAUACCUCUUCUCAAAUAGCACUGAGAACGAGCAUCAUUGAUCUAAAUCGUGUUGGCGUGAAAAUCUAUGAGCAUAAUACCCUCAAGCUUCUUAUCCCCAGCACCCCUAUAAGGCAAAAUGUAUCCCCUAACACUUAGGAGACACAUGGCUUCCCGGGUCUCAGUGGUAUGACCGUCGAAGACCUUACCAAAGGCAUCAGUAUAAACAUGGUUAGUGGGGCCGCCUACUGGGAAAAGACUCCCGUCGGAGAAGAAAGAACUAUUAGCAAGGAAUCAGUGUGCCUCACCCGGUCCUCUGAAUAUAGCCUUCAUUCCAGUGAUUCUCAGCAUAUGGGGGCCAAGCAUACCAACAUGUCUUCAUUGAUCUGGUAUGCUUCAGCUGCAUAAGGAGAUUAUUUCUUAGGAAGGUACGCUAAGAGCCAGCCAAAAAUAUAGUGAACAGGGAAGGUUGUUGUAAAACGACUAGGAAGAACCUCUCCUUCAAAAGAUUCACCUUUGGUAUCAUUGGAUAAUUCCUUGCCUCCCUAGACCGUGGUAUAUGCUACACAGGACUAGCUGACCUAGGGCAUACUGACACCCUUGAGCAAGCUUACAAGCCACAAAAAAACAGCCAGGGCGGAUGGCAUUACUCCUUGACCUUGGGAGUGAAAAUUUGCACAAGAAGAGAGUGAGAUAAGCGACCAUGUACGCAUGAUCCUUUUCAAGUCUUCUAAGAGGAAUCACGGGGUCUUUGGUCUCUGUCACUACCUCUUGAAUAUCCUCAUCCCAGAUGGCACUGGAAAUGGAUUCCUCCUUGUCUUGAUGGUUCCCAUGAAAUAAAUCUCAUCAUGCAUUGAAAUGUAACAUUCUAUCAUUGUUCUCUGAAAGUAAGAGCUGAUAGAUUUCAAACAGCUCGCGAAGACAUGGAGGUGGUGCUUCGCCAUUGAUGGGUUGGGUUCUAAAAAUCACCCCAUUACUAGAAAUGAACUCCUCAUAAAUGGCUCCUAACAUGGUCAACCCGCCAUUAAAAUACAUGUCAAGGAGAGUGAUUGCCCCUUCGCCAUGAUCAAGGAGCCAGCUAUUGCUCUUGAAGCAUCUGGCUUCCAAUAGGGCUCUGAUGGUGUUAGAACACCUGUCAUAAUACCCGGCCGAACACUGACAAGCUGCAGCUAGGGCACAGGAUUCCAAGUCAUUAGCAUGUGAUUGAAGGACGCAAAGGUCCACAUGCUAUAACCCCUCAUAUAUUGGUUCUCUCCUCCAAAUAGGAGCCCACAAGAUGCCCAGUCAAGACCCUUCUUUUCCAUCAUUCGUUUCCCUAGGGUGAGAAGGUUUUCACUUGAAUCAUAGUUCCCAUGAAGAGAAUGAUGUAUAGGUAUACCCUCACCUUGUAUCACAGGUUCACCAUUUGCAUCCUCAUAAAGAUAGGAUCAAGCAUCUUCACCUAAAUAGGUGACGCUCAAGGGCCAUUCUAGUUUCUGGGUGACGUCAAGAACACCGAGAGAUAAAGAUCUUAUGAAGGAAGCACCUGUGUAGGACUCAGUGCCCAACUCUCUAAGACGUGGUAAAUGAUUCACCUCAAGAAUUUUUAAUGCAUAAGAGGCACAAAAGAAGAGUAAGAAAAUGAGAAAAAUGACAAUUCAGUAUGCUAUGGUUUUCAAGUAAAAGAAGAAAAGAAAGCAUCAGGAAUUUCGACAGCAUCUCCUUUCUAUGCAAGAGGAUGACAGAAAAGGUGUUUGGCUAAUCCAAAGUACACGGGAGGUUCUAAGAAAUCACUAGUCCAUGGGUCAAAGCCCAUCACGAAAAGUGAACCUCAAGAUCUCCCUUUUCUAGCAUAAAAGUGCUCAAGAAUGCAUAAAGAUGCAUGAAAAUGCAUAAAAAUGCAUAAUUACGCUAAAAAAUGCAUAACCAUCUACAAAAGUGCUCAGAAAAUGCAUAAUUAUGUAUAACUAUGCUUAACCAUGCUCAACUACAUCAGAAAGUGCAUAAAAAUGCAUGACAAUGCCUAGAAGUGCUCAAUGGAGUCUAAAGAUGCAUAACCAUGCCAUGGAGAUGCUGAAAAUAUAAAGUCAUGAUACAAAAAUACAUUAAGAAUGCAAGGGGUACAUGAAAGUGCUAAAAAGAUGCUUUGGAUGCUAAGACAUGCAUGAAAGAAUAUGGGAAAUGAAGGGUUGCACCAGAAUGUGAAGGGUCGCAUAAAAAAAAAAAAAGUUCUUCAAGAUGAUCAUGGUGCUCAAGGAAAUAUUCGUGAUGCUCAGAAGGAUUCAAAAAGACAUUCGUGAUGCUCAAGAAAAUAUUUGGGGAUGCUCAAGAGCAUGUUUGUAAUGCUAAAAAAUUAUUCCUGAGGUUUAAAGUGACGAUCAUGAUGCCCAAGAAAAUAUUGAUGGUGCUCAAAAAUAUUGAUGAUGUUCAAGAAAUAUCUGUGACGCUCAAGAGUAUGUUCGUAAUGCUCAGAAAAUAUUCAUAAGGUUCAAAGUGAUAUUCGUUAUGCCCAAAAAUAUUCGUGGUGCUCAUAGAAUUGUUCAGGAUGCUCAAGAUAUGCUAAGGGUGCUCAAGAUAUGCUAAGCAUACUCGAGAAAUGUUUAAACAUGUUCAAGGAUGAUCAAUUUAUCAGGACCAUGCUCAAACUAUCAAGGUCAUGCUUAAUGACCAAGACUAUGCCUAAGGCAGGAUAUUCAUGCAUAAAUUCAAACAUGAAGUAUGCAAGGAAGAAGCAAGAAAUGAUGAAGAAGCAUCAAAAUUAUAAACGAAAGAAGAAGGAAAGAAGUUGAUACCUGGAGGGUCAGAUGAGCUAGCCAAGGCUCCCAUCCCCUUUUAGAGUCAUUUUCUCACUCUAAAGAAAGGUUUCUCUCACUCUCUCUAAAAACCAGAAAAUGAAG